GGGUGAAAGGCCAAUCAAACUCGGAAAUAGCUGGUUCUCCGCGAAAACUAUUUAGGUAGUGCGGUGAGCGGACACCUUGAGGGGUAGAGCACUGAAAGAGCUAAGGGGGAGCGAUCCUUACUAAACUUUAUCAAACUCCGAAUACUCAAGAGUGAUACUCACCAGACAGACAUUAGGUGCUAAGGUCUAGUGUCGAGAGGGAAAGAGCCCAGACCGUCAAUUAAGGUCCCAAAAUUAUGGCUAAGUGGUAAAGGAAGUGAAUUGUCCAAAACAGUCAGGAGGUUGGCUUAGAAGCAGCCAUCCUUUAAAGAAAGCGUAAUAGCUCACUGAUCUAAACAAGACGAUUUGCGCCGAAGAUGUAACGGGGCUAAAGCCAUAUACCGAAAUUACGGAUUUACACGUAAGUGUAAGUGGUAGCGGAGCGUUCUGUAGGCCUGCGAAGGUGAACCGUAAGGUUUGCUGGAGGUAUCAGAAGUGAGAAUGCUGACAUGAGUAGCGAAAAGAAGAGUGAGAGACUCUUCCGCUGAAAGUCCAAGGUUUCCUGCGUAAAGCUAAUCUGCGCAGGGUUAGUCGGCCCCUAAGGCGAGGCAGAGAUGCGUAGUCGAUGGGAAUCAGGUUAAUAUUCCUGAACCAACUAGGAAGUGACGGAUUCAGUAAAUUGUAUGUCCUUAUUGGAUUGGAUAUGCAGUGAAUGAGUUCCAGGAAAUAGCCCUAGUAUAGACCGUACCCCAAACCGACACAGGUGGACAGGUAGAGAAUACCAAAGCGCUUGAGAGAACUAUGUUGAAGGAACUAGGCAAAAUACUUGCGUAACUUCGGUAUAAGCAAGCCCCAUUUUAAGGCAACUUAAGGUGGGGGGCACAUACUAGGGGGUAGCGACUGUUUACUAAAAACACAGGACUCUGCUAAAUUGAAAGAUGAAGUAUAGGGUCUGACGCCUGCCCGGUGCUGGAAGGUUAAGGAGAGAUGUGAGAGCAUUGAACUGAAGCCCCAGUAAACGGCGGCCGUAACUAUAACGGUCCUAAGGUAGCGAAAUUCCUUGUCGGGUAAGUUCCGACCUGCACGAAUGGCGUAACGACUUCCCCACUGUCUCCAACAUAGACUCAGCGAAAUUGAAUUCUGAGUUAAGAUGCUCAGUACCCGCGGUUAGACGGAAAGACCCCGUGAACCUUUACUAUAGCUUUGCAGUGGUAUUAGGUGACAAAUGUGUAGGAUAGGUGGGAUGCUAUGAAGUUAUGACGCCAGUUGUAAUGGAGCAGACGUUGAAAUACCACCCUUUUGUUAUUUGAUAUCUAACCUGCUUCCCUGAACGGGAAGAGGGACACUGCCUGGCGGGUAGUUUGACUGGGGCGGUUGCCUCCCAAAGAGUAACGGAGGCGCGCAAAGGUUGGCUCAGACUGGUCGGAAAUCAGUCGUCGAGUGCAAUGGCAUAAGCCAGCCUGACUGCGAGAGAGACAUUUCGAGCAGAGACGAAAGUCGGUCAUAGUGAUCCGGUGGUCCCGAG
rnacentral:rRNA from 1 species